GAUGAACGCUAGCUACAGGCUUAACACAUGCAAGUCGAGGGGCAGCGGGAUUGAAGCUUGCUUCAAUUGCCGGCGACCGGCGCACGGGUGAGUAACGCGUAUCCAACCUUCCGUACACUCAGGGAUAGCCUUUCGAAAGAAAGAUUAAUACCUGAUGGUAUCUUAAGCACACAUGUAAUUAAGAUUAAAGAUUUAUCGGUGUACGAUGGGGAUGCGUUCCAUUAGGUAGUAGGCGGGGUAACGGCCCACCUAGCCAACGAUGGAUAGGGGUUCUGAGAGGAAGGUCCCCCACAUUGGAACUGAGACACGGUCCAAACUCCUACGGGAGGCAGCAGUGAGGAAUAUUGGUCAAUGGACGAGAGUCUGAACCAGCCAAGUAGCGUGAAGGAAGACGGCCCUAUGGGUUGUAAACUGCUUUUAUAAGGGAAUAAAGUGAGUCUCGUGAGACUUUUUGCAUGUACCUUAUGAAUAAGGACCGGCUAAUUCCGUG
rnacentral:rRNA from 1 species